UUUUUUUGUCUGGCGCCGCCCUCCUUUCCUCUCCCAUUUGUCUCCACCAGUUAAAAGUAUGCAUGUUUUUCUUAAUUUAUUUUGUUUCAUCCAGCUCCAAACAACACCGCAUACUUCUUGUCAAAUUGUGGUAAAUGGCACAAUUGUCCAGAAGGGUGCAGGUUGAAGAUAUUCAACCCAUCCUUUAAGCUGUUUAAAAAGAUGUAAGUAUCUUUCUCUCGCCCUCGUCCCUUUAGAGCACUUUACAAACUGAGCAGUGAUGGCAGGAGUGCUUUCUACCCGUUAGAUGAAAUACAUUUAAUUUGCUACGUGACUUCAAUUAUAAAUAUACAGAGCAAAAUGUAUCUAUACACCUGUAAUUUGAGUGUAUAUGUACAAAUGCAUUGCUCUUUUGUAUAUGGUGGCUUCUUGUUUCUGUUCAAUUCAAAUGCAAGCAUGUUGGUGUCUGUCACAGACCUCUUGGCAUUCUCAGGGGACGUUUUUAUUUUCUGUUUUACAUCUGUUAGGCUAGUGUGUGAGGGGGGGGGCAAAAUCUGGUUAUAAUGAAAAAUAUAUUUUGGAGCCUAAAUGUUGGCAGUUUAAAGUAAUAUUUAUCGCUUUCACUAAACACUGCAUACCUUCAUAGGAGAGCGUGACUGGCCUUUCCAAACAGCACAGACAACAAUGUUAUUUAAUUUGCACAGGAGCAGUCUGGUUGCAACAUGGAUUUUUAAAAGAAGCAUAAUGGACUGACUGCUGUCGGCCGCCUCAAACCCUCAGAGCUGCAAAUUUUUGGAGUUUGAGUGCCGCUGAACUCCCGUGCUACACGGUAAAAAUGUUCAACCAAAAUGACCAAAGUCCCCAAAAACAGCUCAAUGACCAGAGCCUCCAUCCAAAGAAAACCUCUGCAUGCAUGGACGCUGAAAAGAUAAAGCCUAUUUAUUUGCAAUAUUGUUACUUUGAAGUCUUUUUGAAUUGGAUAAAUCAGUUAGAUGUAUGUGUACUGCCUGCAUUUAUUUGUAACCAUUUGUUAGCUGAUAUUCUGAAACCUGUUUUCCAUUUUAUUGUCAUGAGACAAAAUGGAGAAACACAACAUGAAAUGUCAUGUUUGUACAGUUGAAUAAGAUUGGUUUCAUUUUACCUUUUAAUUGUUUGACUUUGAGGCUAAAAGUGCAUUAAACAUUUUUUUUUUUUGCACACAUUAUGCAUACCUGGGCUCCAAGUUAUAAUCAGACACUUCCUUCUAUUUACCAAAUAGUUAAUGGGCUGAUAGUUUUUUUUUCAUGUAGAUAAAACGCACAUAUAUAUAUAUAUUUACACAUUUUCUUGAUAUGCACACGUGUAUGUUCUCAAGCUCACACUCCACUUCCGCUCUUUGUAACUUUUUUAGGGCACCACGUUUUCUGGCUGGUUCAGUCUUCAGUGCAAACGUUUUGUCGGUAGAAAUCCCACAUUUUCCCAGUAAAGCAGCCAAAUUGGUCAAACAUUUUUGACAUUCUGGCAAGUUAUCAAAAAGUGGAAAGACAAAUGCCUUGAAAACCUGUGAUAGGAAAAGAUUUUUUUCUAGGCUGAUCUGAAUAGAUUUUAGAACCAGUUAAAUAAUUUAGUUCGAUGCUGGUUUGAUUGGUAACAAACCAAAACAAGCUCUAUAAUGUUCAACUCUCCGCAGUUCAAGUACAAAGCGUGUGCGCGCAAGUGACUAAAUUCAGUACCAAACAAUAUGACAUUAAAAAAAAUAUUUUAGUUUUUUUAAACUGCACCAUGUUGUAUUUCUUUUGAUUGGAGAUUUCUGUUUUUCUAUUUAUUAUUACAGUGUACUGUAUUCAUAGUUUUUCACAUCAGCUGCUCUGUGAGCGUGUAACUGACACCUGUGCAGAAGUACAAUAAAGAAGCAAAGUAAUAAACUUCUUGUACCGUUGCAGAAAGCUGAGCAAUAAAACUAUGCUGUUUGGACCUCACAGCAUUAUGUUUUACAGAACCACGUGUACGGUGCUGUCAUUUUUUGUACUGUAAUGGGGGUCGUUGUGGCGCAGGG
ensembl:lncRNA